GGCCUGAUAGUGUAGUGGUAACACUCGCAGAUUCCAUUGUGGAGAAUAAGAACUUCACUGCCCGCCCCAUGUUCAAUUUAAGGUUGGGUCU